UACAGAGGUCUCAAGCGUUGUUCGGAUUCAUUGGGCGUAAAGGGUGUGUAGGUGGCGCCGUAAGUCGGGUGUGAAAUUUCGGAGCUUAACUCCGAAACUGCAUUCGAUACUGCGGUGCUUGAGGACUGGAGAGGAGACUGGAAUUCAUGGUGUAGCAGUGAAAUGCGUAGAGAUCAUGAGGAAGACCAAUGGCGAAGGCGGGUCUCUGGACAGUUCCUGACGCUGAGGCACGAAGGUCAGGGGAGCAAACGGG
rnacentral:rRNA from 1 species